CCAGACUCCUACGGGAGGCAGCAGUGAGGAAUAUUGGUCAAUGGGCGCGAGCCUGAACCAGCCAAGUCGCGUGAGGGAUGACGGCCCUACGGGUUGUAAACCUCUUUUGUCGGGGAGCAAAUUCCGUUACGUGUAACGGAGUCGAGAGUACCCGAAGAAAAAGCAUCGGCUAACUACGUGCCAGCAGCCGCGGUAAUACGUAGGGGGCAAGCGUUAUCCGGAUUUACUGGGUGUAAAGGGAGCGUAGACGGUUACGCAAGUCUGAAGUGAAAGGCGGGGGCCCAACCCCCGGACUGCUUUGGAAACUGUGAAACUGGAGUGCAGGAGAGGUAAGUGGAAUUCCUAGUGUAGCGGUGAAAUGCGUAGAUAUUAGGAGGAACACCAGUGGCGAAGGCGGCUUACUGGACUGUAACUGACGUUGAGGCUCGAAAGCGUGGGGAGCAAACAGGAUUAGAUACCCUUGUAU
rnacentral:rRNA from 1 species